UACGUAGGGUGCGAGCGUUAAUCGGAAUUACUGGGCGUAAAGCGUGCGCAGGCGGUUUUGUAAGCCGGAUGUGAAAUCCCCGGGCUUAACCUGGGAAUGGCAUUCGGGACUGCAAGGCUGGAGUGCGGCAGGGGAGACUGGAAUUCCUGGUGUAGCAGUGAAAUGCGUAGAUAUCAGGAGGAACACCGAUGGCGAAGGCAGGUCGCUGGGCUGACACUGACGCUCAUGCGCGAAAGCGUGGGGAGCAAACAGG
rnacentral:rRNA from 1 species